rnacentral:rRNA from 1 species
GACGAACGCUGGCGGCGUGCUUAACACAUGCAAGUCGAACGGAAAGGCCCUGCUUUUGUGGGGUGCUCGAGUGGCGUACGGGUGAGUAACACGUGAGUAACCUGCCCUCGACUUUGGGAUAACUUCAGGAAACUGGGGCUAAUACCGGAUAGGAGCUCCUGCUGCAUGGUGGGGGUUGGAAAGUUUCGGCGGUUGGGGAUGGACUCGCGGCUUAUCAGCUUGUUGGUGGGGUAGUGGCUUACCAAGGCUUUGACGGGUAGCCGGCCUGAGAGGGUGACCGGCCACAUUGGGAAUGAGAUACGGCCCCGAAUCCUACGGGAGGGAGCAGUGGGGAAUAUUGCACAAUGGGCGGAAGCCUGAUGCAGCAACGCCGCGUGCGGGAUGACGGCCUUCGGGUUGUAAACCGCUUUCGCCUGUGACGAAGCGUGAGUGACGGUAAUGGGUAAAGAAGCACCGGCUAACUACGUG